AGUCUUUGCAGAAUGUGACGCACCAGCGCGCUGUAGAUGUCAUCCGUCAGUCGUACAGUAAUAAGAUGAAAGAACCAAUGGAAUUUGUUGUUAAGAUACCGAAGAAGUCGCAGCAGUGAUGGCAAGUUAUUUAUCCGAAUACACAUUUAAACCUCGCAGCUAAUGUUAACUGGCACUUUACAUCACCGAUAUGGUGAUGGGGAAUAAACAUACAACUCUACUGUAUAAGUGAGCGCUAACUCCCUGGCUCAAAGGUAAUAUCCAACAAGUCUUCCUUUUAUACACCUGGG